UGGCCUGGAUGUAAGGCAGGGGCAUGGGUCCUUGUGCAUCUCAGCAAUUUGAAAGCUUCAGACAUGAGUUAGUGGUGACUGUCAUGCUGGAUAGGAAUCCACAUCUUCAGCCUGAACAAAACAGCAUGUCCAACUCUGCCAGAACUGGAUCCAAACAACCUGAACUUUGAGAAUUCACAUAUGGAUCUAGAUCUGACCUUUGCACCUCUGAUCCAUAGCUGGAACUAGAAUGCUGCUGUCAUCACAACCACUCCAGUUCCUUCCACAGCCAACUCCUAACCAGCCAGAGGGCCUAGAGAACAUAGGAACAGAAGACCAGCCAUACUGGGUCAGACCAAAGGUCCAUCUAGCCCAGUAGCCUAUCUUCCGACAGUGGCCACUGCCAGGUGCCCCAGAAGGAAUGAACAGAACAGCUUCCUCUGCACAAAUUAACAGCUCUGCAAAUUGACUGUCACACCUUGGGCUCAAGUUAGUUCCUGUGCCUGGUUCUUCCAUGUAGAAAUGCCACCUAUUGCAUCACCAUCACAGCCUGCGUUUACCAGUACGCCUCUAAUCCAUGAGUGCUUGCAUAAUGCAGGAGGCCAAAUUUAUCCCUGGUGUAACUCCAUUGACUUCAGAAUGGAUUUGGCGCCAGGAGCUGAGUUUCCGUAGCAGUGCCAUCCAUCUGGAGAUCUUGGCCAUCAGGCCUCAUUGUGCUUGGAGCACAGCUAUUGCUUUCUUAAGCAGAGAGUUGGAUGCCCGAUUCCAAAUAAAAAUGAAUGGGAAUCAAUGUGUCCAAAUCCCUUAUCUUUGAAAAUCUCAGCCAUAGGCUCUUGACAGUGCACACUGAUAGCUACUUAGUUUCUUCAAGCGAUGCAUUGUCCUGGAACUGUUGCCAUGGUUCACUGAACUGGAACGUUGACCCUCUGUAGCUUUCGUAUUUGGACCUUAUAUCUGCUUAGCCAGUCUUUCACUUUAACCAGUGCAUUCAUGUGGCACACUUUUAAUCCCUCACUGCCUCUGAAGAACAGUAAUUUUAGCUGAAAUCCUGGCCUCGUUGAAGUCAAUGGUUGUUUUGCCAUUGACUUAAAUGAGGCUAGCAUUUCACCUUCUGUCCCAAUGAGAGCACUGAGCCUUCUCAUGGAAGAAGUGCUUGCAUGUAUUACGUGCAAGGUAAAAAGGAGAUGAGCUGGGCAGCCUGAUCCUGCAUUAAGGAAAGUCCCAUUGCACAGCUACCGAGUAGGAGCCAAAGAGGGGAGCAUGUAGCUAAGCAUCUAAUAAACACAUUCAUUCUCCUUAGACCCAACCAUUCUAUGCCCAUGACAUACUGGGGGCUUUUUGCAAGAAAGGUGGAAGGAAACACGACAGAAUAGGAGCAGACUCCAGCUCCAAACUGGCACUUGAGGGUCUUGGUUGGUUGCUCUUGCAUUCUCAUCUGUGCUUUUGGUCAAACAAGGCAAAGGGAAUAGAACAGCUAAGGGCAAAAGGGCAGAAGGGAAAAAUCAUCCAUAAAAGAAACUGAAUGUUGAAAAUAAUGCAAACAAUUCUCUAGUGUGAGCGUGAGUGUUUGUCUUGGCCACAGAUCUAACCUAACAACUCUCUCUCACUAUGUUGCCUUUUCUUUCUCUUUUUUUGACAAAGCUUUGUGCCAUAUAGGAUGGUUCCUCAGGCUGGAGGAAGUAGUGGAGGAGUGCGCUACAUCCAUAUCAAUAAACAGAGGUGAUCUUGGAUUAGCAAUGACUAAGGCAGGACAUUCUAACAAUCUGCAAAUAUCUGAAGUCUGUAAAUAUCAGAGAGAGAGAAAGUGGAUUUACUUAGGGUGUUACAAGUGGAAUAAUUAAGAGUAAUAGGUAAGACUAACCAAUGGAAAAUUUAGGCUUAAAUAUCAGGAAGUUUCCUAACAGUGAUUUCUAUUAGACUGUAGAAUUUUCCCAUAAGGGAAGUGGUGGAAACAGGAAACCUCAUAUUUUGAGACAUUUUUCAAAUUAGAUUGGAUCAAGGUACUGAAGAAUAGACUCUUGCAAAGAGAGAUUAAGUAGAUAAUCUAAUAGCCUUUUUUUUUGUCUCUAAAGUAUCUUAUUCUAUAAACCACACAAUGCAUGGCAGACAAAUCAGUUAUAUUAAAAAUGGAUUAAACACAAUCACAGAUCUUUUUAAAUGGUUUGUGAUCUUAAGCAUUCAGUUUGUCUGAAAGAAUUAAA